ensembl:lncRNA
CAUCUACAUACAGGAUCAGGUUGAAAUAGAUAAAACAAUGGUGUAUGUACAUGUUUUGGUUUUCUCCACUUAUGAGUCACUCAGUUCAAUAUCAAUCUGUCAUGCUAAAAAAGGGCUGAGUUGCAAAAUCGUACAGGAAAUAUGGUGCAUCACAAUAUCACUUUACAGCAUCGCAUGUGUAAUGGCUUGAACAUUGCUUCAAGUGGUCCAGAGAGAUCACUCUCAGCCAGGGGAGUAGCCAGGAGUUAAUUUCAAGAGGCGGGUGGAAAUGUACUAUACAACAUUAUAUUGUGAAAUGUGACAUGCUCAUGCUUUUUGGGUGGAUGCCGGACAGUAGGAGUAGGGGAAGCAUGCAUGAUUCUGAUUGGUUAAAUCUGGUGCUCGCAAUAGCAUUAAAAUGUUAAUAAACAAACUCAGGCUAUUUGAGUAUGAAAUUGUAAUGGAAUCUUUUAUGAACAUCAUUACAUACAACAUAACUUGAUGCGUAUAUAUAUUCAGUUAUAAGCACCCACAAGUAAGCAUUUGGAACUGAUAUAAAAUAUUUCAGGGGGGUUCAAACCCAAAAUCCAGCCCUCUAGCGACGCCUCAGCUCUCAGUCAACAUCAGUUUAUUAAAAGCACUGCUUUCUCUCUUUUAUACCUGUUUUUUCUUAACAAAAGGAGGCUUAGGCUACUUAUGCAUGUGAUUUGUGAGAUCAAAUCGUAGCCAGGUGUCUGAAAGAGAGCAUUACUGUCCGGCUCGCUGUGUGGGAACGACAGCCUUUCUCCCUCGACCUGUCAAUCAGUGUGACAUGAGGAAACUUGUUCAACUUCACCCUCUCUGAAUGGUAGCUGUGAGACUGGCUAUGACUGAACUGGAGAAGAAAAUUCCCGUUUUCCAGUUCCCGUUAUUCAUGUUCCUGUUUUACAUGUUAUAGAACAGAGAUUGAUUAAUGGCACAUGUCAUUACGUCCCCACACCACGCCAUCCGACGUUCCCUCCAGAAUUUCGAAAUACAGUUCGUCUUCGUUAUGGUACCGUAUACAGUUUUGGGUGUUUUUUAUUUAAAAUUUUACAAAAGCUUCAAGUGCAGUUAAUUAUUUGUCAUGCUAUACAUGCAAUUGGACGACUGCUUGAAGCCGUGGGCUGCGUCCAAAACCACGUACUUACCUGCUAUAUAGUAGCUGAGAUACAUGUAUUUCACCUACUAUAUGCAUGUAUUUCACCUACUAUUUAGUAGGUGAAAUACUUGUAUAUAGUAGGUAAAUACAUGUAUAUAGUAGAAUACGUGUAUAUAGUAGGUGAAAUACAUGUAUAUAGUAGGUGAAACACACGUAUUUCGGCUACGAUAUAGUAGGUGAAAUACAUGUAUAUGGUAGAAUACAUGUAUAUAGUAGGUGAAAUACAUGUAUAUAGUAGGUGAAAUACAUGUAUAUGGUAGAAUACGUGUAUAUAGUAUGUGAAAUACAUGUAUAUAGUAGGUGAAAAACUUGUAUAUAGUAGAAUACGUGUAUAUAGUAGGUGAAAUACAUGUAUAUAGUAGGUGAAAUACACGUAUUUCGGCUACGAUAUAGUAGGUGAAAUACAUGUAUAUAGUAGAAUACAUGUAUAUAGUAGUGAAAUACAUGUAUAUAGUAGAAUACGUGUAUAUAGUAGGUGAAAUACAUGUAAGUAAUAGGUGAAAUACAUGUAUAUAGUAGGUGAAAUACAUGUAUAUGGUAGAAUACGUGUAUAUAGUAGGUGAAAUACUUCUAUAUAGUAGGUGAAAUACAUGUAUAUAGUAGGUGAAAUACUUGUAUAUAGUAGAAUACGUGUAUAUAGUAGGUGAAAUACAUGUAAGUAAUAGGUGAAACACACGUAUUUCAGCUACGAUAUAGUAGGUGAAAUACAUGUAUAUAGUAGGUGAAGUACAUGUAUAUGGUAGAAUACGUGUAUAUAGUAGGUGAAAUACAUGUAUAUAGUAGGUGAAAUACUUGUAUAUAGUAGAAUACGUGUAUAUAGUAGGUGAAAUACUUGUAUAUAGUAGGUGAAAUACAUGUAUAUGGUAAAAUACAUGUAUAUAGUAGGUGAAAUACUUGUAUACCGUAUGUGAAAUACUUGUAUGUAGUAGGUGAAAUACAUGUAUAUAGUAGAAUACGUGUAUAUAGUAGGUGAAAUACAUGUAUAUAGUAGAAUACGUCUAUAUAGCAGGUGAAAUACAUGUAAAUAGUAGAAUACGUGUAUAUAGUAGGUGAAAUACAUGUUUAUAGUAGGUGAAAUACACGUAUUUCGGCUACGAUAUAGUAGGUGAAAUACAUGUAUAUGGUAGAAUACAUGUAUAUAGUUGGUGAAAUACAUGUAUAUAGUAGGUGAAUUACACGUAUUUCGGCUACGAUAUAGUAGUUGAAAUACGUGUAUAUAGUAGAAUACGUGUAUAUAGUAGGUGAAAUACAUGUAUAUAGUAGGUGAAAUACAUGUAUAUAGUAGAAUACAUGUAUAUAGUAGGUGAAAUACAUGUAUAUAGUAGGUGAAAUACUUGUAUAUUAGGUGAAAUACUUGUAUAUGCAAGCAUUUCACUUGCUAUAUACAAGUAUCUCGUCAGCAAAAACUUCCCCAUAUCAACAGAUACACGUUCUGUAAAGCCGUUUAUGUGGAGUGUCUAGCCUACAAAUCCCUGCGCAGAUUGUAUCUAAAGAAACAGUGACAAUCUACAGCAAUAAUAUAAACCUGUAAUUUGCCUUGUAGCCCGAGCUACUGUCAAAGCUGCGGUUAUAGAAAUAAAUCUCAACACCUUCCGACCAAUCGGAUUUGAGAUUUCGACAGGGCUAUAAUAAUGUAAUAAUAAUCAGGUUUCGUCGUGUGUCUUAGUAAUGAUAUAUCGACUCAGCCCUAGUUCGGUUUUCCGUUUUCGUUUAAUGCUCUUAGCAUACCAGUGUGGUUCAUUAUAAUGUGCCAUCCAAACACUGUCAUAAAGUUUUUGGCUAUGGAUGGCUCACAGCACUGGGAAGUGAUGUGUAUGUGUGUGUGUGUGUAUGUGUGUGUGUGUGUGUGUUAAUUAGAGGUCGUGCAGGGAGAGAGGCUUGAGAUUCCACACACUCAAGGCCUCUGAAUCAAACAACCUGGUGCUUUUUGGUGGUUUUUUUUGCACUUUCAUGCCAACUGGUAUCAAUCCAGCACCAGUGGAGCAAAAUGCUCAGGACACGGUCUUUAUAAUGAGGUGUAGUUGCACACUGAGUCACCAUUUGAUCAGAUCCAUAUAUGCUAUAUAUAUAUAUAUAUAUAUAUAUAUAUA